rnacentral:piRNA from 1 species
UCCAACAAAUAGUGUUCCAUGCUCUAGCUA